rnacentral:lncRNA from 1 species
GGUGCUUCCAAAACGGAAGUCUUUAACUUCGCCUCCGCGUCCAAAGCUCCUCAAAAACUUUGCACAAACAGUCGGUCGCAACUGAAGAUUGGACAAACAUCGAAGAGGGCAAGAAAUAUAUGACAGCAUGGCAUCCAUUUCGACUGAGCAGAAUACACAGCCCACUCCUCAGCUUCUGUCAGUUGGAGAAAAGGAUAAGAAACGGCUUCUGGAGGUGUAUGUGAAGCGAAGUCUCAGCCUUAACGAUGGAUCACAAUGUCCUCUGAGACCGGAGCAAAGAACACACAAAUGGGUUGCCAUCACAGAGCCGAAGACAAGACAUCGCAAACAUUCCAGCGAUACAUCUCUGAACUUGACUUCUCAAGCCUCCAUCUCAGAUGAGGACAUUAGAUACGAGCCCCUCUCUGAACCACAACUGGAUAAAAAGGAGACGUCAUCUGAAAAGAAAUCCAAAAAGUGGAGAGUUAAAGGGAGCCUGCGCCGCAACGAUAGUUCUAAUGCAUCGCAAAAGUCCAAUAGCAAACCCAAGAAGUGGUUUCAACGUUUGGAUAAGGGCAAGGAGGAGGGUGGGCAAAGCACUGAUGCUUUACCUCCCCAAACAAGUACAGUUACUCCUGGAGAUAUGCAUUCAAAUGUGCUUGAAAAUCUGGAGACUUCUACAGUGGAAAGGAAGGACAAAGAAGGCAAGAAGACAAAGAAGCCCACUGUAUGGAAGAAUUUCUUGAGCUGGUUUUCCAAAGGAAACAGUGAAAAAGAACAAGAUCAUCAGAGAACCAAAGAACAGUUACCUCUUUCCCAACCCUCAACACCCCAAAUUUCUUGUUUGCCUUUAGCUGACACCCUAUCAAAAAGUGAAAUCAACCUGCGCCGUUCAAAGUCUUCAAAAAAGAAAUCGUUGCACAGGAGAUCAUUAAAAUGCAGGCAAAGUGGAGAUAUGUCCACUGAAAAAUCUGUUGAGAUAGUGGAACCCACUAACUCAUACUAUGAGAAAAUGUCAGAGGAACUGGAGAAAAUUGUGCAUGAAGUGAAAGACAGUCCAGCAGAUGACAAUGCCACUUACCAAAUAACAGACCAGAAUGGUGUAAAUGUCUCAAAAGAAGAGGUUAUAAAGAGAAUCAUAGAACUUAUAAAACAGGAAGGAGACUUAAUACAUAAAAAGGUAAGUGUGUCUCAUUCCUUCUGACAUUAAAUAUUACUGAGACCUUUUAUUAGUAUUGCAGAUGUUUGGCUCAGUUUCAAACGUGUAUGAAAACCACCCAAGUAUUGCCGUUCCUUGCAAUGUGUUAUUUAAAGGAGAUCCACCAAGUUCACUAAUGUUUUCUGAUCUCCCCUCCUCCCCCAGCUGAAAAAGAACAGCACCGUGAGCGAUUAUCUGGAUGGAUUCACCUAUGGAUUCUUCCAGCAAAUGGCUGAUCAAUAUGUGCAGUCAGAAGUUCCCAAUGAGAAAACCCAGCUGCCUGUCGUGGCACCAGAGCUGGUGAAGUUCGCCUUCACUCUGGACUUCACAGCCAGAGUGGCAAAUCUGCACCGCCAAGCCACAGGCCAAAUCAUGGGCUUCGGGAACCAGUAUCUCCAAGAUCGCUUCACUCACAUGAGCGAGAGCCAUCCGCAUCUCUCUGACAUUAAAGCAGAGGAUCGGGAAAACACAGAACUCUGAGCAAGAAUUCAUAAGCUUGUAGAAGCGUGAGCUUCUAGCUGACAGUUUUACUGCUGGAUUUAUUUGAAAUGUAGCAACACAAAAGGAGAAAUAAUGAAGGCUUUUAAAAUAUGAAUUUUUUUUCUUUUUUCCAUUUUGCACAAUAGCACACACACCAGAAUGAACAGGGUUGGUAAUAUCAUAAUACAUUUAUGUGAAAUGUUAUGCAGUUUUACAUCAUAAAAACCUCGAAUGAAGUUAGAAAUCUAAAUGUGAAUUUAUUGUUGACAAAUUAUGAUGUAUUUGCACAACUGCAAUAAUUAUUUUAUUUACAUAAUGUAAUUUUUUAUCUCUAUAACUCAAAUUUAUAAGCUUUACUCACCA